AUCCUUUUGUGGUUCAUAAGUGUGAUGAUUGGGUUUCACAGUAAUGUGUGAGAUGUGCCUCCUUCAGCCUUAUCAGGAUGUUGGCACAUUACCCAUCUGAUA
ensembl:snoRNA